UGAGGAAUAUUGGUCAAUGGGCGGGAGCCUGAACCAGCCAAGCCGCGUGAGGGAAGAAGGCCCUAUGGGUCGUAAACCUCUUUUGUCAGGGAACAAAAGCGAGUAUGUAUACUAGUCUGAGUGUACCUGAAGAAAAAGCAUCGGCUAACUCCGUGCCAGCAGCCGCGGUAAUACGGAGGAUGCGAGCGUUAUCCGGAUUUAUUGGGUUUAAAGGGUGCGUAGGCGGCGAUGCAAGUCAGCGGUAAAGGCCCGGGGCUCAACCCCGGCGAGCCGUUGAAACUGCAGUGCUAGAGAAGGCGAGAGGUACGCGGAAUGCGCAGUGUAGCGGUGAAAUGCUUAGAUAUUGCGCAGAACCCCGAUUGCGAAGGCAGCGUACUGGCGCCUGACUGACGCUGAGGCACGAAAGCGUGGGGAUCGAACAGGAUUAGAUACCC
rnacentral:rRNA from 1 species